rnacentral:rRNA from 1 species
CCUACGGGAGGCAGCAGUGGGGAAUAUUGCACAAUGGGGGAAACCCUGAUGCAGCGACGCCGCGUGAGUGAAGAAGUAUCUCGGUACGUAAAGCUCUUUCAGCAGGGAAGAAAAUGACGGUACCUGACUAAGAAGCCCCGGCUAACUACGUGCCAGCAGCCGCGGUAAUACGUAGGGGGCACGCGUUAUCCGGAUUUACUGGGUGUAAAGUGAGCGUAGACGGCAGCACAAGUCUGGAGUGAAAGCACGGGGCUUAACCCCGGAACUGCUUUGGAAACUGUGCUGCUGGAGUGCAGGAGGGGAAAGCGGAAUUACGGGUGUAGCGGUGAAAUGCGUAGAGAUGAGGAGGAAUACCGGUGGCGAAGGCGGCAUACUGGACUGAAACUGACGUUGAGGCGCGAAAGCGUGGGGAGCAAACAGGAUGAGAUACCCGAGUAGUC